UGGGGAAUUUUGGACAAUGGGGGAAACCCUGAUCCAGCCAUCCCGCGUGUGCGAUGAAGGCCUACGGGUUGUAAAGCACUUUUGGCAGGAAAGAAACGUCAUGGGUUAAUACCCCGUGAAACUGACGGUACCUGCAGAAUAAGCACCGGCUAACUACGUGCCAGCAGCCGCGGUAAUACGUAGGGUGCAAGCGUUAAUCGGAAUUACUGGGCGUAAAGCGUGCGCAGGCGGUUCGGAAAGAAAGAUGUGAAAUCCCAGAGCUCAACUUUGGAACUGCAUUUUUAACUACCGGGCUAGAGUGUGUCAGAGGGAGGUGGAAUUCCGCGUGUAGCAGUGAAAUGCGUAGAUAUGCGGAGGAACACCGAUGGCGAAGGCAGCCUCCUGGGAUAACACUGACGCUCAUGCACGAAAGCGUGGGGAGCAAACAGG
rnacentral:rRNA from 1 species